GAUGAACGCUGGCGGCGUGCUUAACACAUGCAAGUCGAACGGAAAGGCCCAAGCUUGCUUGUGUUCUCGAGUGGCGAACGGGUGGGUAACACGUGUGUGAUCUGCCCUGCACUUCGGGAUAAGCCUGCGAAACUGGGUCUAAUAUCGGAUAGGAUGAUGGUUUCGAUGCCAUUGUGGAAAGUUUCUUCGGUGUGGGAUGAGCUCGCGGCGUAUCAGGUUGUUGGUGGGGUAAUGGCCUACCAAGGCGUCGUCGGGGAGCCGGCCUGAGGGGGUGUACGGCCGGAUCAGAAUUGAGAGACAGGCCAGAGUGGUGCGUGUGGGAGCAGGGGGGAAAAUCGGACAAAGGGAGCAAGCGUGAGGCAACGAGGCCGCGGGGGUGAAGAGGGCUUUCGGGGGGUAAGCUCCGUUGGCGGGGGACAAAGCGUUGUUGUGACGGUACCUGGAGAAGAAGCACCGGCUAACUACGUG
rnacentral:rRNA from 1 species